rnacentral:rRNA from 1 species
UACGGAGGGUGCGAGCGUUGUCCGGAAUCACUGGGCGUAAAGGGCGCGUAGGCGGCCUGAUAAGUAGGGGGUGAAAUCCUGCGGCUUAACCGCAGGGCUGCCUUCUAAACUGUCAGGCUAGAGCACAGUAGAGGCAGGUGGAAUUCCCGGUGUAGCGGUGGAAUGUGUAGAGAUCGGGAAGAACAUCAGUGGCGAAGGCGGCCUGCUGGGCUGUUGCUGACGCUGAGGCGCGACAGCGUGGGGAGCAAACAGG